rnacentral:rRNA from 1 species
GACGAACGCUGGCGGCGUGCUUAACACAUGCAAGUCGAGCGGUAAGGCCCUUCGGGGUACACGAGCGGCGAACGGGUGAGUAACACGUGGGUGAUCUGCCCUGUACUUCGGGAUAAGCCUGGGAAACUGGGUCUAAUACCGGAUAUGACCUUACAUCGCAUGGUGUUUGGUGGAAAGAUUUAUCGGUACAGGAUGGGCCCGCGGCCUAUCAGCUUGUUGGUGGGGUAAUGGCCUACCAAGGCGACGACGGGUAGCCGGCCUGAGAGGGCGACCGGCCACACUGGGACUGAGACACGGCCCAGACUCCUACGGGAGGCAGCAGUGGGGAAUAUUGCACAAUGGGCGAAAGCCUGAUGCAGCGACGCCGCGUGAGGGAUGACGGCCUUCGGGUUGUAAACCUCUUUCGACAGGGACGAAGCGCAAGUGACGGUACGAGUAUAAGAAGCACCGGCCAACUACGUG